rnacentral:rRNA from 1 species
GUACGCGAGCUGGGUUUAGAACGUCGUGAGACAGUUCGGUCCCUAUCUGUCGUGGGCGUUGGAUGAUUGAGGGGGGCUGCUCCUAGUACGAGAGGACCGGAGUGGACGCAUCUCUGGUGUUCCGGUUGUCACGCCAGUGGCAUUGCCGGGUAGCUAAAUGCGGAAGAGAUAAGCGCUGAAAGCAUCUAAGCGCGAAACUUGCCCCGAGAUGAGUCAUCCCUGAGGCU